AUUGAACGCUGGCGGCAGGCCUAACACAUGCAAGUCGAGCGGAUGAGGGGAGCUUGCUCCUCGAUUCAGCGGCGGACGGGUGAGUAAUGCCUAGGAAUCUGCCUAGUAGUGGGGGACAACGUUUCGAAAGGAACGCUAAUACCGCAUACGUCCUACGGGAGAAAGUGGGGGAUCUUCGGACCUCACGCUAUUAGAUGAGCCUAGGUCGGAUUAGCUAGUUGGUAGGGUAACGGCCUACCAAGGCGACGAUCCGUAACUGGUCUGAGAGGAUGAUCAGUCACACUGGAACUGAGACACGGUCCAGACUCCUACGGGAGGCAGCAGUGGGGAAUAUUGGACAAUGGGCGAAAGCCUGAUCCAGCCAUGCCGCGUGUGUGAAGAAGGCCCUCGGGUCGUAAAGCACUUUAAGUUGGGAGGAAGGGCUUACAGCGAAUACCUGUGAGUUUUGACGUUACCGACAGAAUAAGCACCGGCUAACUUCGUGCCAGCAGCCGCGGUAA
rnacentral:rRNA from 1 species